rnacentral:rRNA from 1 species
GAUGAACGCUGGCGGCGUGCCUAAUACAUGCAAGUCGAGCGAACAGAUGAGGAGCUUGCUCCUCUGACGUUAGCGGCGGACGGGUGAGUAACACGUGGAUAACCUACCUAUAAGACUGGGAUAACUUCGGGAAACCGGAGCUAAUACCGGAUAAUAUAUUGAACCGCAUGGUUCAAUAGUGAAAGACGGUUUUGCUGUCACUUAUAGAUGGAUCCGCGCCGCAUUAGCUAGUUGGUAAGGUAACGGCUUACCAAGGCAACGAUGCGUAGCCGACCUGAGAGGGUGAUCGGCCACACUGGAACUGAGAACCGGUCCAGACUCCUACGGGAGGCAGCAGUAGGGAAUCUUCCGCAAUGGGCGAAAGCCUGACGGAGCAACGCCGCGUGAGUGAUGAAGGUCUUCGGAUCGUAAAACUCUGUUAUUAGGGAAGAACAAAUGUGUAAGUAAAUAUGCACGUCUUGACGGUACCUAAACAGAAAGCCACGGCUAACUACGUG